rnacentral:rRNA from 1 species
CCAGGCGGCCUUAGCGCGGUGGUCCCACCUGACCCCAUGCCGAACUCAGAAGUGAAACGCCGUAGCGCCGAUGGUAGUGUGGGGUCUCCCCAUGCGAGAGUAGGGAACUGCCAGGC